AGACGGGAGCCAUGGGGGACACCCCCCCCAUAGUUCCUCCUUAGUCUCCUGUCCUGGGCUCUGACCCCGUCCUGGUGUGUCCCCCCCAGGCAGUGACAGCGCCCAGGGCUCUGAUGUGUCUCUCUCGGCUUCUAAAGCGUGAGGAGCUGCCCUGUGGGGACUGAGUGAUGGAAGGUGUGUCCACGCUCCCACUUCCUGACUCAGGAACCUCUGAUGGGGGUGCACACCUGGCCCUGCUCCCCACACUUUCCUGUCAGCAGAGGCAGCUGGGCCCUCCCCCUCCCCUCCCUGCCUUUCCUCCCUGGGGGCUCUGAGUGACAACUUCCUGCUCCGUAUUGAAAUGAGGCUGUGCAUUGACCUGGUUCUUCAAUUCUUCCCGUGCCUGGUGACGGUCAUUAAAGGAGACCCUGUAAUUAAAUGUCUUCUGAGAGGAAAUAAACGGAAGCUCCAAGA